rnacentral:rRNA from 1 species
AUGCCACCAAAAAACGGUGCGAUAUCAUUGCGCACUGAAGAUGUGUUUGACAUUUUCGAGCUACAGAACAAGGGCAAAGAUGCCAUGAAAGCACUAGGUAAAGGAGGGUUAAAGGAGAAGGUGAAGGUGCCUAGUCAUUUUCUAGAUUCCAGUACGGGUGAAAUGAUGAUAGACAAGCUGAUUGAGAACAUCGUUGCCAGUGGCACGUACAAUGAUGAUUUUCUCCGUAGAAUUGUUCUGGUUCUUCUAAGCACGGUUCUUGUACCGCAGUCCACGAAAGAAGUUCCUAAUGCUUAUUACAAGUUAGUUGAGGAUAUGGAGGCCAUCAAAGCAUUUAAUUGGAACGCGUUUACUUUACGCGUUUGCGUUGAAGGCAUCACAAAGACCAUAUCAGAUCUUACAAAAUUUACUUGGCCGGUCGGAAACCUUGCCCUCAUAUAG